GAUGAACGCUGGCGGCGUGCCUAAUACAUGCAAGUCGAGCGAACCACUUCGGUGGUGAGCGGCGAACGGGUGAGUAACACGUAGGUGAUCUGCCCAUCAGACGGGGACAACGAUUGGAAACGAUCGCUAAUACCGGAUAGGACGAAAGUUUAAAGGUGCUUCUGGCACCGCUGAUGGAUGAGCCUGCGGCGCAUUAGCUAGUUGGUAGGGUAAAGGCCUACCAAGGCGACGAUGCGUAGCCGACCUGAGAGGGUGAACGGCCACACUGGGACUGAGACACGGCCCAGACUCCUACGGGAGGCAGCAGUAGGGAAUAUUGGGCAAUGGGCGAAAGCCUGACCCAGCAACGCCGCGUGAAGGAAGAAGGCCUUCGGGUUGUAAACUUCUUUAGUCAGGGACGAAGAACGUGACGGUACCUGCAGAAAAGCAACGGCUAACUACGUAGCCAGCAGCCGCGGU
rnacentral:rRNA from 1 species